UUAUUUACUUUUAACAAGUCAUAGCAUAUGACCACUUAGAAAAUUAUUUCAUAUGACAUAUUUAAUUAUUUACAUAAAUAAUAAAUCAAUUAUAAAUUUAAUUUUUUUAAUUAUAACAAAAUCUUUUGAGAAAGUAUCUAGCAAAAUCUUAAUUAAGAAUUGAAAUAUCUUCUUAUAUAUUAAAACAGAAGUCACGACAUUUUUCAAGUGUGAUUUUUUUAAAGUUGGGCCAUCUUUAAAAAAUUUAUUAGAUGUAUAUUUAUGUUAUCCUAACAAUAAAACUAAUUCCUACUAAUUAUCAUAAAAUAUUCCAUAUAUCACAAUUAAUAGAUUUCCCACUUCCUACUUUAACUACACCGAAUAUUUACUUCCUACCGAUACUCCAUAUACAAACAUUUUUAUAUGACUUAAGAAAACAAGAUUAUAAUUGCUUUAUUAUAACUAUAUUGUUAAAAUUAAGCAUUUAUAGCUAGAUUCGCAUGUAGAUAUAUACAAUAUCAUUUUAUUAAGAGCAUCAUUAUCGCGGUUUUUUAAGUCUGUCUCUUAGAAUUAUUAGAAUUAAAAAAAAAGAAAAUUGGCUUAAAUGUGAAAAAACGUCCACAAGAGACCGGUUUUAUGAGACACGUGUCCCUUGAGCGUUCAUCUCUUCCACGACUUCUCUCGUUCUUCCGCGACUAUCUCCAAACCUCCUCUUAUGCUUCGAUCGAAUCUGUUUGCUAUGGUUUGUAUAAUCUGUUGCGGUUGAGAUUCAGAAAGUUUUGAUCUUUGUGUCUCACGUUUUCUUCUUACUCUUCUUCUUCUUCAAAUCUCGCGUGUCUGUUUUGUCUCAACCACAAAUCAUCCAAGAGACUCCCAAGCUCUUCUCUGUAUAGACCAAGCUUCACCGUUCCGACCAAAACCAGGAACACUUGUAAAGCCAAACCAUGGAAGAAUCUCGGUCUUGUCAUCAACUCUAGAAGAGUUCCAUCACGUCUUCUUCUUCUUCCAUUACUGAUCAAACAUGGCUGCUGCAGCUGCUGCUAUAGGUACUGCAGUCUCAUUUCCAUCAUCAAAGUCGUCGGCGUCUCUCCCCACAAAAACAUCCUUCGUUUCCCCUCAAAGGAUUUUCCUCAACAAAAAGUACACAAGAGGCGUUUAGUUAUGGGGGAAGAGUGAAGGCUCAGGUGACAACAGAGGUGCCAGUGAAAGAAGUCGAAGGAGUCAAAGAAAGAGGAAGAAGUAAUAGUUGUCAACAAAUUCAAACCAAAGGACCCUUACACUGGUCGAUGCCUCUUGAACAGCAGGAUCAUUGGCGAUGACGCUCCCGGUGAAACCUGGCACGUUGUCUUCACCACCGAAGGUACGCUUCUCCCCAACCACAAAUUCAAUAAUAGUCAGUCAUUAGAAUGUUUUUGAUUUUUAACUCGAGUUGUUUUUGAUUUCUAUCAUUUUCUUCAAACUUUUUAAUAAUUGUUUUUAAGAACCCUUAAUUUAGAGACUUGUAUUGGAGCACAUAAAUGUUCGGGUCUCUUAACAGGGUUUCUUAACACAUAUUUAUUGCUUAAAAGUAUUAAAAAAUAACUAAGAGACCCUAAAUGGGUAUUUGGGAUAAUGAUGCCCUAAGAUUAUACUAAGUUUAAACCAAACCUAUGCUAACCACGUAUGGAUUAUCGUAGUUUUAUGCAUUGCACGUAUGGAUUAGAAAAAUCAUACUAGAACCCUCAGUUUACCAAACUAUAUUUCUUUAGUUUAUACGAGAAUUUUGAAAUGGACCAUUAUCACAAUUGCAUUAUUUAUUAAGAUAUUCUAAAUUGCAUUCAGCAUAAAAAUCUUGAUGAUUCUAACAACUAUUUAACUGAAAUCCUAUAUUUCAUUUUACUAAAUACUCUUUCAUUGAAAAUAUAUGUGAUUUUAUAUAAAAUCUCAGUGAUUCUAACAGCUUUAAUAAAUCGCAAUUCUUAUAUCUUAAUAUUUUCAAGAUAUACCUCUUACAAAUAUUACAUACUAAUUCCUUUUUGAAAUAACUAACUUAAUUAGGAUUAAUAGUGUGUCUCGCUUUUUAAUAAAUUUUAAUUUGAAUAUUCAUUAUUUAUAAAUACAGAUAAAUGACUAAAAUAAUAGAAUAAUUUUAUGAAAACCAUAUAUAACUAUAAUAGGAUUUUGCGAGUUGUUCCAUCAAGCUUAUAAAUUACUAGGUAACCCUGCUUUAUUUUCAUAGAUAUAAAACUAUAUUCAUUUUAAAUAACAUAAAUUUUGGUAUAAAAUAUUAUAUAAAAAUUAAAAUUUAUAAUAUAUUUAAAAAUUAAAUAUACUUAUAUAUGAAUUAAAAUCAGUAAUCAUAUUAUAUAAUCAUACUAUUAAAACAAACCUGAUUGAAAUUAUAUAAUUUUAUUUUGUACACCAAAAGAAAACUAUCAACUCAUCUCAAAUUUUGAUUUCCAAAAAUAUAUUUCUAUGCAAAGUGGAAAACAAAUAAAAAAAUUUAAAGUAUCAUGUAUUAAUAACAUGUUAGUAAACUAUAUAAUACAUUUAUACAAAAACUAAAACUGAUAACACAUACUUGGUAUGAUUCAAACAGUCUUAUAACGUUCGUAUAGCGAAAAAUUUGACAAAAAUUCAAAUUUUAAACUCUGCGAUGUUAUUGCCUUAAUUUUUACCAACUAUCUAAAAAUCAAUUUAAAUGUAUUGUGCAAAUCUUUUUGUUAACAAUAUAUUGUAGAUGCAAUAUUUAAUAACAAAAUCCGGAAAUAUUUAUAUUGCUUCGUCUACAAGUUUUAUUUAAUAUCACAAUUAGUUAUAUUUUCCUUAUACUUACAGAAUUUUCGCUAACCUACUUUAAUUGGAUUAGCAUUAACUCUUACAAAUUAAAAAAAGUAUAUUCUAAUUACAAUAUACUCGCAUAAUAUUCCUUAUUCCACAAAGUAACAUAUUUAUCAAAUCUUUAAAAUAUUAUGACCUACAUUUGCGUAACCUAAAUCCGCUGUACCACCUACCAAUUAUAAAUAUAGCAUCAGAAUACCACGAUAUUCAUCAAACCUAGGGAUACAGAAAAAAAAUGGCGAACAAUAUGCGGCUAACUUUCUUGAACGAAUCAAACCACGCAAGAAUGCAUGUCGCAUCCAAGUGAAGAUCAUUCAUACAUGGAGACAUUUCAUGAAAGACGUUGGAGAAUCUAUGGAACUAAUCCUAUGUGAUGCAAAUGGAACAAAAAUCCAUGCCUCUGUGUAAUAAGACAUACAUUGCUGAAUUUGCCAAACAUGUCUGUCUUGGAGUAUAUAUGUCUAAGUAUAUAUUUAAUCUUUUUAGUGGGCAAAGAUUAGGGUGCUGCCUGUCGGGAAAUUUUGCAGAGAAUCUUCACACAGCUAGCCAGUAAACAGAAGGCAUGGUAAUAUGUCUUCUACGAUUUGCUAAGAUUGGGCAAUAUAGAGGUGAAGUUCAAAUCUCAAAUGCUUAUGAUGCAAGUCAGAUGUUUGUCAAUCCUGAAAUACCAGAAGCAGGUUACCGGUUCAUAUCGGAGAGGAACGAGUCUGUGGUGUCCUCCUGCGGUCGCUGAAUCAGAAUCGAUCGGAGAAGACUUUCAUUUUUAUUUUUGCUUUGUUCGAUAUGUCCAGAUGUUGUCGUAACAUAGAAGAUCACGCAUGGGCUUGGGCCUCGAUAUAAGAAUUGAAUUUGUUAACAUUUAAACUCAUUUUGCUAAAACCCAAUAUUUAAAAAACCCAUUCUUUCAAAACCCAUUUUAAUAAAUCAUAAAUUAAAAAGUUAGAUUUUAAUUUUCAAGUAUAAUUUAAAUAUUGACUAUGUUUAGAAAAAAAAAGGUUUAUAAUAACUACAGAUUAAAUCCCUUUUAUAUAUUUGGUUUUCUAUUUUGAAUAUGAUAUAUAUAUAUAUAUACAUAUAUAUAUAUAUAAAUGUGUGCAACAAUCUUUCCAAUAGUGACAGAUAUAAUUAUAUUUCAUAAUUUCUAUAUUAUCACUACAAGAAAACACAUGCUUUACGAGGAAAUUUAACGAGGAAAAACAAUCCUCGUAAAUUUACGUCGAUUUUACGAGGAAUUUACGUGGAAAACUAAAGUCAUCGUUAUUUCCUCGUAACGUAACAACAAAAGUAAUAAAUAGAGAUUUCAGACUUAUUAUUUAUUUAAGUUAUUUCGGAAAAAUACGGAUGUUACAGUGUGUUUAUCAUGUAGUUUGAAAUUCAGUUUUCAAUGUAAUAAAUCAAAACUUGAUGUUUAUGAAACUUAACAAAUCUAAUAUUUUGAGUGAAAGAUAU